UGUGCACGUCGGACGGACAGUGCAGUUGUGGUCAGAGCGAGAGCGUCGCGUAAGGCCAGAGAACUGAGGGAGACAAUGUCAACAGCACACUGUGCUCUACAUCUAACUUCAGGCCUGAAUGUCUCAGGGGCCCAGCGGCGCGUGACUGCGGGGUCGUGGAGCAUGAAUGUGAGGCUGCGACUGUUUCAGGCGACGCCGGGGCGAAUAUGCGACUCUGUAUGAUAGGGCAGUUUUAUUGUACGUACAGACUUGUUCGGCAAAGUCAGCAUACAGGAUCUUUCAUUGAAUAUUCACAAAUGAAUGUAACUAAUGAAUUUAGUAAAAUUUUAGAUACUCUUGAUAAAAGCGUUUAUCACGUGACCAAGUGCAGUGGUGAGACACCCAAUAACUUGCUAAACAGGUCAAAUACUGGUAUUUGGGAACUUUUAGAUAGCAUGAUGUCUCAAAGAAAGGUGUUAAAUCAUUGGAAUCAUUGUAGUUAUUUAUGUAACCGGUAGUGCCAGACACUAAGGAACUCCUACCACCAGCAUGUUUGAUCAAUUGGUGGGUAACCUCCCAUGAAACAUUUAUAGAGAAAGCAGUUUGUUUGGCUCUAGACCAAGCUGAAAUGCCAACCAAGACAAGCAUUAUUGUAAAAAUAUCUGCAAGCAAAACGAAAACCUGUUUCCAGGAUUAACAGGAUCCCACAAGUUGAGAAAACGGUGAUUUUAAGAAAAAAUGAUAAAGAGAAAUCUCACCUAAAAACAACAGCUGCAAAUUAAAGAGCAAACAGCGAUCUGAAAUGGCUCAUUCUAGUUCAGCUUAUCCAAUUUCUGAGUAAGCAUCAUGAUAAUGUGUGAAAAAAGUGACCACACUAGGCAACAUUAGGAAAUUUACCCUUAAAGUUUGAGGGUCAGAUAUCGGCCUUUUCAUUUCUAGUAAAGCUUAAAGCACUUGUAGCUUUCGAUCAAGUUUUGUCUGGGCAAUACAAGUUACCUUUUCAAUUUUAGUCAAGAAAAUUUUCCUGUUGGUGUGAGGAAUGUAUGCCUUCCCCAAAGUCCAAGUUUUUUUCCUGACCUUACAGCAAAGUAAAAAUUUCAUGACUCAAAAUUCUGCAUGACGACCAAUGCCUAUACUGUAUCUACCAUCUGCACUGAGAGCAAAAGGCAGUAAAAAUCACUAUGUUUCACAAUUUGUCAAUGUCAGUCACUACUUAAAACUAGUGAUUAUAUCUUUGCCAUACAUAUCAGUAUGUUACAAUUUGUCAAUGUCAGUCACUAUUCAAGAAAACAGUAUCCUUCACACAAAAAGAAAAAUGUGAAGCUGUAAAAACACCCCUCACAGUUGUUCUCGGAUGCGCCCGCACAAGCAAGCAUGCACAAAAAGAGAGGAAAAAAUUUCAACUUUGUAAUUUCUUCCAGAUGUAUCUCUGAAGUAAACGACGCAAGAAAGUUUUGGUACAGCAACAUUGCAGCCUGCAGGCGCAGUGAACACGCACACGCUACAUUUCUAACUUUGACACUUGUUAGAGAUAAUAGUGCAUUCAUAAAUUAUCCAACUGGCUAUGUUAUGCCACGUUUUAAAAUAAUAAAAAAAAA